UGCAGAACACAAUGGGUUCAGACUAUAUUACAACAGAGUUCUGUAACACUAGAGUAAAACUGACAUAGUGCAGUGGUGAAUCAAGUCCAAAGUCUUUGGACAGCACAGUUCUAAAUCCAUUGAUUGUACCAACAAAGCCCAUAUAACAUGCAUGGCAGGGGAAAUCUGAACCUACCUCGACCUACUGAAAACAACAGACUGGAUCAACAGCACAGAAGAAAGCAAUGUUCUGGGACUUUACCAAGUCGAGGGAAGGGGUUACUGGAAGGGAAAAUUCUGCAGGCCCAAGCAACAUGGAAAGGCAUUAGUUCUUGCUGGGGAAAUGCAGAGCCCUGGACUUCAGGAUUUGUCAGUCGGAUCAGUUCAUCUGCGCAGGAGCCAGCUAUCUCGGAGGCCAGUCUCAGAUGUGUGGAACGCACACUCCAGGAAACUGAGGCCCAUCCUAAAUCUCAUCACCCUCUGCUUUCAAAUGUGAGGUGCACUUCUCCCACCUGCUUUCUCUAACGUAAACACAGAGCAGCAUGGACGUUUUAAAAAAAACAGCUCUCCAAACCAAACACUACACGGCACACACAAUUCUCUCCCCUGGGAGAGAAAACAACGCUGUUCAGAUACUACAGUGAUGAGAGUGGUGUAAUGACCUACAUAGACUAAUGCGUUGAAGCACUAUUGAAGCGGAGACUGCAGAUGUACAGAUUCAAACAGGGAGGGUUGUCUGAUCAUGUCCAGCUGCAGCAUGAGUUUGAAUCCUAGUUCACUUGUUCCACUACCUGUGCUGGCACGACAGUGGGAACAUUAUAAACCGGGAGGGGGCUGAGAACCAGGACCCCAAAACUCAUUUUUUUGCCCCUCCAUGACCUCUAGAUACCACCACCAUUUUUUAUCCCAGAAUGCUUUGUGUUCCCUCCCAGAAUCCAUUGACAGUUUUCUUCCAACCUCCCCAUCUACGUGGUUCUGUAAUGCUUAAUCAUCUGUUUUCUUUCCAUUCAUUUUCAUAUAUGGUUAAAAGCUGAAAGUAUUUACAUUCCAUAAACUGGCUAACGGCACAUUUAAAAAUAUAUCAGAAAGCUGAAGGUAUAUGUCCUUAUGACUCGCUCAGAUUCCUCGAAGCCAUGUAUUCUGUAAACCUCAUUAGCACUGCUAGUUAUGCUGGGGAAAGUUUUCUUUACAGCGCAACAGACUAGAAUCAAAGUUAUUUUAAAAGAAAGCUUCACUCAUAUACAACAGGUUUUUGUGCCCCCUUGCGGUCAGGACCUCUAGGGUUCCAGAAUCAGGGCCCUGGAGUUGCCUGUGGUCAUGCAGGGAUCCGGUUGCGCUACUCCCUAUGACUUGGAGUGCUAAGAGCUCUGCAUAAGGCUUGAAAAAUUUAGUGAGGCUGCUGCUAUGUAAAAAUGAUUCAGUGUCCGUGAGCAGAACAUCUGUCAGAAGAGCUCGCAGCUGGCAGAACCCAGAGUCAAGGAAAGGAAAUCCUGGAGAGAAAUGGGGCGUAGCUCGCAAAUACAGAGCAGCAGAUGCUGAGCUGCGGGGGUGGGGGCUUGAGUGGCGGGAGGAAGAGAGGGCAGGGAGUCAACUAGGUGUGUGGUUGUGAGGAUUACUGACUAAUUUACCUAGGAGCCAGAAGAGCAAAUGCCUAGCAGAACAACACAUCUGGGGCAAGAUCCAGUGCUCCAAGGGAGGAGAGGAAAGGGGAAUAUAGAUGGGCGUUCACAUCAUUUUUCUGUUUGUUCCAAAGCCUCUGAGUUGUGUGUUUCACAUGCUCCAUAUGUGGCUCUCUGAUUAUUUGGAGACUCUGGAGCCGCCUGAAUCUGAUCCCCCCCCACAAAUGUUACACCGGUUUAACUCCCUUGUCUUCAGGGGAGUUACUCCUGAUUUACACCUAUGCUGUGCAAGAGCAGACUCAAUCCCCGUAUGCAACGCAGCCAUGAGUAUACUGGGGGCCCUGGUCACCAUUGUGCUGCUCCAGUCCUAAGCCAGGGUAAAGCCAUUGAAUUCAGUGCAGAGCGGAGUAAAGCCGAAGCAAUGCAGUUAUGAAUCCGGCUCUAGAAGUUUCUCCUGUUUGUUGAAUUCAGCGAGAGCUCCUGAGGCAACCUGCAGGGGCUGGGGGCAAAUUUAUAAGUUCCCGCCCUCAGCUGGGGAAGGCCAGAGACCAACGUUUUUCCUCUUUUCUCAGAGCCUUAGAAAGAGCUAAUCUGCGGUAGGUCUGUAUUCUUUAAGUGUGUGUGUGAACUAGAGACAGAGAACUGUGCAGUCACAUGCUUGCCCUGUACUCUGCUCCUUUGCAUUCUCCCCCUCACUCCCUUUGGAGGGUGUUUCAGGGACAGCCUGUGAGGGACUAAUCUGCAUGUGUAAUGUACAUAUGCACAUUUUUAUUUGCUCUCUCCAGCUGCAGGGAACUGGCUGGCAGCAAAAACCACCAUGUGGUUCCCCUCUAAAGGUCUCUCCAAAGGGGCUCAGUGCAGCUGUUUGACCUCACCUCAUGUGCAUGCUACCUAGAUGGCUAAACAAAAUUCACUCUACCUGCUCCUUAGCCUGUGAUAGAGAUGAGCAGCUGACACACCGAUUUGUAGCCUGUCUACACACAUGCACAUCAUACAUCAUUUGAAAGCUUAUUAUAUUUACUUUAAGAUGAGCUAUGGUGUGCAACUGUCAAGUGGUGCAGCUACCAUGGAAAUGGGGAUAAACAAUGAUACCAUCAGCAUGUUAAAAUGACCACCUUGCCAUGUUUGCAUUCACUUCUGGUAGUUUAAUGACUCAAUUUAUUAUUUCAAGACCUAAAAUUGGAUUUCUUUGUGGCCUCAAAGCAUCACAACAGCAAUCAGAGUAAAACAGACUCUAGUAAUAAAUGUGCGCCGAUAUAAUUGAAAUGGUGUAGAGCUGGUGACAAUUCUAGUUAACAUCAUUAUCAUCAUCUUGUUCAUCAUUCUGAUCUCUGUCAAAAGUGUGUGGGUUACCAGAGUCUUCAUUGCCUUGGCUUCUUCAAAACCUCUGCUACUUCACCACUGGAAAAGCCUCCAGCAAGGAGUGUUUGGGUUGUGUGCGUUUCUACAUUGUCAGGUGCAUUUUGAGCCAUCUCUUCACAGAGGAAUUUGAGACGUGUCUGCCUGUUGCGUGCCACGUUUAGAAACUUUUCUCAUGGAGGCACAGGGGACCCACCAAUCAUCUGGUAUUUCUUGCAUCCAACCAUAGAUCUUGUCCGGCUCUGUCUUUUCUGCAGUUGUCACAGGGUUACAAUUGCCAUGUCUAUCAAAGAUUUUGAUUACAGAAUUAGCUUUGUCAAAUCCUUUUAGGACCUGCUUCAAGUACUCAGCAGUCAAUUCAUCAGACGUGUGGAACUUGUCUCCAGACAUCAUUUGCAUGACAGCCAUGGCAUCUCCGAUGUACACUGUGAUUUCUUUGUUGCGUGCUUUUAGUACAUGGAUUCAUUUAGCUUGAGCUUCCAGCUAAUGCUCUACUUCAGCGUUGCCUGUUCUCAUUAUUCCAUCAGCAUGGAAGAGGGACAUAGGCACAGGUGCUAUUGGGUGACUGUGCCAGUCUACACUAUCAUCGUCACCGUUUUUACAAGACUAUGAUACAUUUUGUACAAAGAAUUCUCUGUGAGGUAGCAUCUGAAAAGUCAUAAUGCUGAAUAUCAUUAUCCUGUUAAAAUAUGAGUAGCAACACUAUAUGUGAAGUUAUAAGAUUCUACUGUAUGAUUGUUACUUAAAUAUUUUGUAAUUCUGGGUAACACCCACAAACCAGUUUUUCAGAGACAAAGACACACGAGCACCCCAGACAGGUGUUAAAGGGCCGUCGCCAACUUCAGCAGCCAUCCUCCAGUGGGGGAGAAGGUGUAAACAAGAAAUGUACAUUUCAUCACAGGGAUGAUUCAAACCUCAGGUCCACAACAGACUGUGUGUCACCAUGACUCAGCAAGGAUGUUUCUAGCACAAGAAAUUGAAUUAUAACGUGGGAGGAAAACACUUCACUUCAACUCUCCUUCUCCCCUCUCUCUGAUCAUGACAUCAACGGCUCUCAAAACUGAACUAAAGGGGAGUGGUCACAGGCAUCACCACUUGU